rnacentral:rRNA from 1 species
UACGUAGGGGGCGAGCGUUGUCCGAAGUUACUGGGCGUAAAGCGCGCGUAGGCGGCCCGCUAAGUCCGGCGUGAAAGGUUCAGGGCUCAACCCGAACAGUGCGCUGGAGACUGGAGGGCUUGAGGAUGGGAGAGGGAAGCGGAAUUCCGGGUGUAGCGGUGAAAUGCGUAGAUAUCCGGAGGAACACCGAUGGCGAAGGCAGCUUCCUGGCCCGUAUCUGACGCUGAGGUGCGAAAGCGUGGGGAGCGAACGGG